rnacentral:rRNA from 1 species
CGGGGUGCAGCAGGCGCGAAAACUUUACCCUGCGGGAAACCGUGAUAAGGGAACUCCGAGUGCCCGUAAAAUCGGGCUGUCCAUCUGUUUAAAUAACAGGUGAAGAAAGGGCCGGGCAAGACCGGUGCCAGCCGCCGCGGUAAUACCGGCGGCUCGAGUGGUGGCCACUAUUACUGGGCUUAAAGCGAUCGUAGCUGGUCUGUUAAGUCUCUGGGGAAAUCUACUGGCUUAACCAAUAGGCGUUUCAGGGAUACUGGCAGACUAGGGACCGGGAGAGGUGAGGGGUACUCCAGGGGUAGGAGUGAAAUCCUGUAAUCCUUGGGGGACCACCUGUGGCGAAGGCGCCUCACCAGAACGGCUCCGACAGUGAGGGACGAAAGCUGGGGGAGCAAACCGGAUUAGAUACCCGGGUAGUCCCAGCCGUAAACGAUGCGCGUUAGGUGUAUCGGUGACCACGAGUCACCGAGGUGCCGAAGAGAAAUCGUGAAACGUGCCGCCUGGGAAGUACGGUCGCAAGGCUGAAACUUAAAGGAAUUGGCGGGGGAGCAC